GACGAACGCUGGCGGCGUGCUUAACACAUGCAAGUCGAGCGGUAAGGCCCUUUCGGGGGUACACGAGCGGCGAACGGGUGAGUAACACGUGGGUGACCUGCCUUUAGCUCUGGGAUAAGCCUGGGAAACUGGGUCUAAUACCGGAUAUGACUCCGCGGUGCAUGCUGUGGGGUGGAAAGCCUUGUGCGGCUGGAGAUGGGCCCGCGGCCUAUCAGCUUGUUGGUGGGGUGAUGGCCUACCAAGGCGACGACGGGUAGCCGGCCUGAGAGGGCGACCGGCCGCACUGGGACUGAGACACGGCCCAGACUCCUACGGGAGGCAGCAGUGGGGAAUCUUGCGCAAUGGGCGAAAGCCUGACGCAGCGACGCCGCGUGAGGGAUGACGG
rnacentral:rRNA from 1 species